CACGUAGGGUGCGAGCGUUGUCCGGAAUUAUUGGGCGUAAAGAGCUCGUAGGCGGUGUGUCGCGUCGGCCGUGAAAACCUGCAGCUUAACUGUGGGCUUGCGGUCGAUACGGGCAUCACUGGAGUUCGGCAGGGGAGACUGGAAUUCCUGGUGUAGCGGUGAAAUGCGCAGAUAUCAGGAAGAACACCCGUGGCGAAGGCGGUUCUCUGGGACGGUACUGACGCUGAGACGCGAAAGCGUGGGGAGCAAACAGG
rnacentral:rRNA from 1 species